rnacentral:rRNA from 1 species
GUAGUCCACGCCGUAAACGAUGUCAACUAGCCGUUGGGUCUAUUUAUAGACUUAGUGGCGGAGCUAACGUAUUAAGUUGACCGCCUGGGGAGUACGGCCGCAAGGUUAAAACUCAAAUGAAUUGACGGGGGCCCGCACAAGCGGUGGAGCAUGUGGUUUAAUUCGAUGCAACGCGAAGAACCUUACCUACCCUUGACAUCCAGAGAAUCUGUUAGAGAUAGUAGAGUGCCUUCGGGAACUCUGAGACAGGUGCUGCAUGGCUGUCGUCAGCUCCGUGUCGUGAGAUGUUGGGUUAAGUCCCGUAACG